UACGGGGGGGGCAAGCGUUGUUCGGAAUUACUGGGCGUAAAGGGCUCGUAGGCGGCCAACUAAGUCAGACGUGAAAUCCCUCGGCUUAACCGGGGAACUGCAUCUGAUACUGGAUGGCUUGAGUUUGGGAGAGGGAUGCGGAAUUCCAGGUGUAGCGGUGAAAUGCGUAGAUAUCUGGAGGAACACCGGUGGCGAAGGCGGCAUCCUGGACCAACACUGACACUGAGGAGCGAAAGCCAGGGAGCAAACGGG
rnacentral:rRNA from 1 species